rnacentral:tRNA from 1 species
GCUCUUGUGGCACAGUGGUUAAGUGCUUGGCUGCUAACUGAAAGGUCAGUGGUUCGAACCCACCAGGUGCU